CGUGAGAUGUUGGGUUAAGUCCCGCAACGAGCGCAACCCUUGUCCCUAGUUGCUACGCAAGGGCACUCUAGGGAGACUGCCGGUGACAAACCGGAGGAAGGUGGGGAUGACGUCAAGUCCUCAUGGCCCUUAUGGGUAGGGCUUCACACGUCAUACAAUGGCCGGUACAAAGGGUUGCCAACCCGCGAGGGGGAGCCAAUCCCGGAAAGCCGGUCGUAGUCCGGAUUGCAGUCUGCAACUCGACUGCA
rnacentral:rRNA from 1 species